UGCUCUCUCCCAUAUCCAUAUGAAGGCAAUGGAGGCAUUAGUGGCCAAUACUUCUCAUCCUCAAUUCCAAGUAUAACAGCAUCUUCAGCAAGAAACAGAGUCAUAUGACUAGUGAGAUUAAAGGGGGCAGUAAGCCAUCUACCAGGAGGCACGUUCAGCUGGCCUCCCCCUCUCUUCCCCAGCUUGGAAAUCGCCAAAACCAC
rnacentral:misc_RNA from 1 species